GGGGGAUUGCCACCUCCUCAAACUAGUGGUACACCAGUUGGGUAUGAUGGAGCUGGUGGAGGUCAUGGUGGUCGAGGUGCUUCCUGUCUGAAAAAGAAUAAGACAAAUAAUUGGGGUGGUGAUGUUUAUGCUUGGUCAACUUUAGCUGAGCCAUGGAGCUAUGGGAGUAAGGGUGGUGGCUCCUCUCCUGAUAAUAAGUUUGGAGGGC
rnacentral:misc_RNA from 1 species